AUGACUGAGAAUCUUCAUCAACAUGUUGCCAAUCACUUUGGGAAGGACACCCUACGAUUGGUGAGGGAACAUGAAAAGACCUCUAGGAAACUGGCAGACUACAGGAACCACCUACGCUUCAGCCUGAGAUGCAGACAGGAAAAGUUAACCCCGAACAGCCUACGUCUCGCAUUCACUGUCAAGGGCCACAGAGCAGACACCAUCCUGCAGAAAGCCCAGAACCAACUCCUCAACGAAAGGAUCAGACAGAUCAACUUCACCAUAGACACUCUCAUGGUCACCACGGAGCAGACAAGAUCACAGCUUGCCAUCCUCCUGCCCAGCGAAGUCAUGGAUGAAGUCAUCAAACUGACUGAAAAAGUCCAGACGGCACAGCACACCAGGGGUAAGGAACGACAAAAACGCAAAUUCCAUAAAUUGAAAACUGUUUUCUCUGUUAAAAAUGCAGCUAACCUUCACACAUGGGGGAGGGAAGACCACUCACUGCCACAGCAGGACAUCCAGGACAAAUGGGUAAAGAACCUUUCAGACAGACAACUGAGCCAGCCGGAAAAAGACGUGUUGGCCAAAGGACUCAACUUUGCCAUCUCGCCAGAGCAGAUUCCAGUGGUGGACCUCAUCACAGCCACAGAGUCAGCCAUCAAGAACAACAACCUGACAGACACAGAAGCUGAGCAACUCCGCUUGAAGGUCACAGCCACACUCUCCACUGCUAAAGCACCGCCAUCCAACCUCUCCAGUGAUGAAAGGAAGGCCCUGAUUGCACUACAAAAGGACCGGGACAUUACCAUCUUAUCAGCAGACAAAGGAAGAUGCACAGUGGUGCUCAACACACAGGACUACCACGCCAAAGUGACAGAACUCCUCAGUGACACAGCCACAUAUGAGACACUGAAGAGGGACCCCACCGGAAACUACAAGAAGAAACUAGUCAGCUACCUACAAAAACUGGAGAAGGACCAAAUCAUCAACAGCAAGCUCUACUUUCGACUGUAUCCUGGGGAAGCCACUCCACGCCUGUAUGGACUCCCCAAGAUACACAAGGAAGGAGUCCCCCUCAGACCCAUCGUCAGCAGCACAAACUCAGUCACAUACAACAUGGCUAAGCACUUGGCUGAACUCCUGACACCACUGGUAGGUGACACACCACAUCACAUUCACAACUCGCAGGACUUUGUGAACAAGGUGGAGAAGAUCCAAAUGGACCCAGAUGACACCAUGGUCUCAUUUGAUGUCACCUCCUUGUUCACCUGCAUCCCUACAUCAGAAGCCACAGAGAUGGUAAGGACUUGCCUCACACAAGACAGCACACUCAAGGAGAGAACCAACCUAACGCCAGACCACAUCUGUGACCUGCUGGACCUCUGCCUGACCACCACUUAUUUCCAGUACAAUGGGAACUUUUACAGACAGAAGCACGGCUGUGCGAUGGGAUCACCUGUGUCUCCUAUUGUGGCCAACCUCUACAUGGAAGAAGUGGAGAGAAGAGCCCUGAGUUCCUAUCCUGGAACCACCUCCACCCACUGGUUUAGAUAUGUGGAUGACACCUGGGUCAAAAUCAAGACCAACGAAGUGGAACGGUUCACAGAACACAUCAACACAGUGGAUAACAACAUCAAGUUCACUCGCGAGGACACCAAGGACAACAAUCUGGCCUUCUUGGACUGCACAGUACAUAUUGAGGAGGACAGGAGCCUCAAUGUGGAAGUGUACAGGAAACCCACACACACGGACCAGUACCUGUUGUUUGAUUCACACCACCCACUGGAACACAAACUGGGAGUCAUCAGAACCCUGCAGCACAGAGCACAAACUGUACCCACCAGCUCAGAGGGGAAGAAGAAGGAGCAACACCACAUCAGGAAGGCCCUGCAAACAUGUGGCUACCCGAAGUGGGCACUCAUCAAAGCCACAAAAACAAGACCCCCCAACAACAAGAAGAAGGACAACACCAGGCGGAGAAAGAACAUCUCCAUUCCAUAUGUGUCAGGAGUAUCAGAGAAACUCCGCAGGAUCUUCAACAACCAUGACAUCCCGGUCCAUUUCAAACCUAUGACAACACUGAGACAGAGACUGGUUCACCCGAAGGAUAAGAUUCCCAGGGAGAAACACAGCAAUGUGAUAUAUGCAGUCCAGUGCAGUGAGGAAUGCUCUGAUCUGUACAUUGGAGAAACUAAACAACCACUCCACAGAAGAAUGGCUCAGCAAAGGAGAGCCACCUCCUCAGGACAAGACUCAGCUGUUCACCUCCACCUCAAAGACAAAGGACACUCCUUUGAGGACAACAACGUUCACAUUUUAGACAGGGAGGAAAGGUGGUAUGAAAGAGGAGUCAAGGAAGCCAUCUAUGUUAAGCUGGAAAAACCUUCCCUUAACAGAGGUGGUGGCCUCAGACAUCAUCUUUCUACCACAUACAAUGCAGUGAUUCCAUCCAUUCCCAGGAAGUUUGCACAUACUCAGAGUAAGAACAAAGGGCUGUCAACCAGUCCCCCUCCGGCAGUUUCAUAG
rnacentral:lncRNA from 1 species